rnacentral:tRNA from 1 species
GGAGAGGUGCCCGAGUGGCUGAAGGGGCACGCCUGGAAAGCGUGUGUGCCGGCAACGGUACCGUGGGUUCGAAUCCCACCCUCUCCG